rnacentral:rRNA from 1 species
AACGAACGCUGGCGGCAGGCUUAACACACGCAAGUCGAGCGCCCCGCAAGGGGAGCGGCAGACGGGUGAGUAACGCGUGGGAAUCUACCGUACCAUACGGAAUAGCUCCGGGAAACUGGAAUUAAUACUGUAUACGCCCUACGGGGGAAAGAUUUAUCGGGGUAUGAUGAGCCCGCGUUGGAUUAGCUAGUUGGUGGGGUAAAGGCCUACCAAGGCGACGAUCCAUAGCUGGUCUGGGAGGAUGAUCAGCAACAUUGGGACUGAGACACGGCCCAAACUCCUACGGGAGGCAGCAGUGGGGAAUAUUGGACAAUGGGCGCAAGCCUGAUCCAGCCAUGCCGCGUGAGUGAUGAAGGUCUUAGGAUUGUAAAGCUCUUUCACCGAUGAAGAUAAUGACGGUACCCGGAGAAGAAGCCCCGGCUAACUUCGUGCCAGCCGCCGCCGUAA